GUCUGAGGGAAGUGGAGUUCUGCUCCCCAGACAGGCCCUGGGCGGUUCAACCGGAGGGUUCCGCGGUCGCCUCCCCCGGAGCUUCGGCCCCGAAGAGGCGGAAUAUCGGCUGUUCGCUCGCAAAAAACUGCAUUUCCAAAGCCUCCCAGCCCUAUCGCCCCCCCCCCCCCCCGCCAGGGCUGCCCAGGACUGAUGUUUUUCGCCUUUUGUACGGCUCAGGAGCGUGUGAUAAGCGAUGCCUUUGGCCAGAAUUGUCUGCAGGGCCCUGCUGUGCUUUCUGCUGGGGUGGCCACCCUUGGGCGGUGCUGCACGCAGGAGAGGGCAGAGCACGGCAGGAUUCUUUGUGAGGCCCUCAGCGUUUGAGGGGUGAAUGUGCUGCGCCUUUGUUCCCGGCUUUUCUUCAGCACGGUGCUCCCACCCUUCAGUCCCUGUCAGUGUAUCCAGGCACAUUCAGGAACGGCUUUGUCGGCAUUCCAGGUGCUCAGGCCUUGUGAUUGUGGUGAAACGCUCUGGAUUGAUGGAUUAUCCAGUUUUGUAAGAAUCUGGGUUUAACAAAUGCAUAGGCAUAGUUACUUGU